CCCUUAGAUGUCCGGGGCCGCACGCGCGCUACACUGAAGGAAUCAGCGUGGCUUUCUCCCUGACCCGAAAGGGUUGGGAAACCCGUUGAAUCUCCUUCGUGAUAGGGAUUGGGGCUUGAAAUUGUUCCCCAUGAACGAGGAAUUCCCAGUAAGCGCGGGUCAUAAGCUCGUGUUGAUUACGUCCCUGCCCUUUGUACACACCGCCCGUCGCUCCUACCGAUUGAGUGGUCCGGUGAGGCUUUGGGAUCUGAGCGGAAAGAGCGUUUCGCUGUUUCUGCUCGGAAAACUCAGUCGAACCUUAUCAUUUAGAGGAAGGAGAAGUCGUAACA
rnacentral:rRNA from 1 species